rnacentral:rRNA from 1 species
UUUGACGGUCAAAGUGGCAGGGAAACACCCGGUCUCAUUCCGAACCCGGCAGUUAAGCCUGUCUACGUAAUUUUCGGUACUAUGGUGCGAGAGCCCAUGGGAAUAUUACCCUCUUUGAG